AUGUUUUCUAAUGUUACAUCAUUAAGCUGUAAUCCUGGCAUUGCAGAGGGAUUAGCUGGUGCCUGUUGGAAGAGCACUUUGGUUUUCUCGAUGUUCAAUGAGAGGCCGAGCUUCUCAUAUGCUUCUGCAAAGGUGUUUAGAGUGGCUUGUAGGUCUUCUUCUGAGUGCGCACAGACUACGUUGUCAUCGGCAUAUUGGAGUUCUAUAACAGAUGUUGUGGUGACCUUGGUUUUGAGGUGGAAUCAGGUGUCAAAUGGGUGUGUUAUCGCCCCAACCUUAUUUUCCAUUUUCAUAGCUAUGGUUCUGCACCUUGUUGAUGGGAAACUUCCCACUGAAAGUCAAAACCAAGGUCACAACAUCUGUUAUAGAAUUUCACUAUGCUGAUCAUAAUGUAGUUUGUGCUUAUUAAGAAAAACACCUACAAGCCAUUCUAAACACCUUUGCAGAAGCAUACAAAAAGUUUGGCCUCUCACUAAACAUUGGGAAAACCAAAGUGCUCUAUUAGUAGGCACCAACCAAUCCCUCUGCAAUGCCAGAAAUCUAGCUUAAUGGUGCAAUGUUAGAAAAAGCUGACCAUUUCUGCUACCUUGGCCACCAUUUCUGCACAAAAAUCAACAUUGACACCAAAAUACAACAUUAUCCGGGAUCAGUGAGUGCAGCAUUUUUUCAAAUGAAGCAGAGAGUGUUUUGUUGGGAAUCAUCCUGGACUACUCAAGUCUAGAAGUAGUUAGAUAGAUGAUAGAGUUAGAUUGAGGGAAUCCUUUCCCUGUUUCCAAAGCAUGCCUAGACAGGCUUUACUGUGUUUCACUCUAUCCUGUAUACGUCACAUCCUUUACUUUGAAGUUAGUAGAAAUGUGAAUCUUUAGGGACACUAACUUCUCAUUGGUCAGAAUGUCUUUUAUGGCCCCAAUAAACUGGACCAUGAGGUUGGAACCAUUUUGGUUCCUUCUUCUCCCUUUGUUCUUCAAGCUAACAAGAAGCAUCCUGCCAUCUCUCCUGGCAAGAUGUAACUAUUUAGAUGUUUGUUAUUUUUCCUUUAUUAUUUUUCCUUAGAAACCAAUCUAGAAUAGUCUAGACAGCUCCCAAGUCUUUCUAUCUACAAUGGAGGUCUUUUUACCUGAAUAAAUACUUUUUGAACUUUUACUGAGACUCUGCACUCCGUUGCCAUCCUAAGUUGAAAGGCUUCUCUUGCUCGCCCGCCUGUAAGUAACUGUUGCAUUUGAAAGCUUUGCUUUUGCUACUCUGCUGAUUUUGGUGGAAUCUCCCCCAGAGAGGGUUAAAUUGAGUCUAACCGCUCAGAGAUUACCACAACAUGUUUGACCAGGACAUUCAUAAGGAUACCAAAAUGCUCUGUUAUAAAGCUAUUGUCUCACCAACUCUGUUAUAUAUCUACAAAAUGUGGACCAUUUACAAAUGUCACUCCCAACUUCUGAAAUUAUUCCAUCAGUGUUGCCUCCGAAAAACCUGCAAAUCUCUUGGGGAGACAGGUCGACAAAUGUCAGCAUUCUGGAAGAAUCAAAGAUCACCAGCAUUGAAGCGAUGCCAUCAGCAUUGCUGGACUGACCAUAUUGUUUGAAUGCCCAAUCACUAUCUCCCAAAACAGUUACUCUAUUCUCAACUCAAGAAUGGAAAAAGGAAUGUUGGUGGACAGUAAAAGGAUGGCUUAAAGUUAACCUUAAAAACUGUGGCAUAGACACCUAGAACUGGGAAGCCCUAGCAUUAGGGCGUUCUAACUGGAGGUCAGCUGUUAACAACAGUGUUGUAGAAUUUGAAGAGGCACAAAUGGAGGGUGAAAGGGAGAAACAUGUCAAGAGAAAAGCGUGUCAAGCCAACCCAUGUUGAGACCACCUUCCAUCUGGAAAUUGAUGUCCUCACUGCGAAAGAACAUGCAGAUCCAGAAGUGGUCUCUACAGUCAUCUACAAACUCACUGGCAAGACUCUAUACUUGUGAUAGCCUGUGGUGAUGAUGACAUACUUUAUACAGGUGAAAGUGAUCAUGCCUGCAGUUUUCUCUUUCUUAAACCUAUUCAAAUCACACACUUUCCAGAUCUCAUGGCAGAUGGAGGACUCCUCCCAAAUCAGUCCCAUGUUUCCCUAUGUCACGGUUUCUAGGAGGGUCCCCACCACACUUACCAGUUGAAGAGAUGGUCUGAAGAUGCUCGGGCAGCUGAGAGAUCUGCCCCUAAGUUGCUUCACCGAGUGCAAGGCUAGGCACUGCCUCAUCAGCUGGUAAGUAAUGUCCCGUCCCCCACCCACUCCUCCAGCACCACUCAUAGGGAGAAGGAGGAUGCAGUGACAGGCUUGAUCACUCCCCCCCUCCCCCCGCAUACUCGGGAAAAAAUUUAAAAAACAAGGAGAAUAAAGACACCCGUCAUGCACCUGUCUCUUUGUUUUCCAUCUUGUUCCCCAUGCCUCCUAUCCCCAGCAUGUGUCUAUCUUUCUUCACGUCCCCACUUCCUCUCCCAGGCACGUGCCUGUCUUCCUGCUUUCCCUUAAAAAUCCCAUGAAUAAAAAGGAGUCAUGAGUCAAGUAAUCUUAAGCAGCCCUGCCCAAAGUCACUGUCUCUUAAAAAAAUGGCACAACUGCAGAAGUUUGUAACUCCCCAUCCUAACAGGGAAACAGAAAAAAUAUUUCUGUUCCUACAGAGCUACACAAUUCAUUGUUUAAACAAAAACAAUUUUAAAAGACAAUUUAACAUGAAAGUGGAAAACAUGAAUAACGUAAACAUAUCACAAAGGGAAAAUCUUUCUCUGACUGCCAGAAUUUUACUGCUGGCUGAUUCAACAAAGGAGAAUCAAUCGGUAGGAAAAUGCCACCUCUCAAACAUGCCCCGAGAGACACGUCACCGGCACAGCUAUUGAGAUGCAUACAGGGUAAACCACACCUGGAGAAGUGUGCAUCUAGAGUGCAAUGAAAAAAAGGAAUGGGUUAAGACAGGUGAAAACGCCAAGGAUACCAUUUCUAAAAGAUUCAGGCUGCACACUCAAUGCAUAUGAGUCCCUAUAGGAUGCAGAGAAAAGGUGCAGUACAUCAUUUGAUCACACCCAUUGGGACUCGUAUGGAUAAAGUUUUAGAAGUGGGUUUUUCUUCUUUGUGAUAAGGUCCAAGGAUUUGGGCCAAUGCUCUCUUUAAAAAAAAAUACUUUAUAACGAAUGGCUGCAUCUCUUCUGUAUUUUUUUUUAUUUCAGAUAUGAAGAGUAGUAAGGCGGCACAGUGACAGUGAAAGAUGACACCUAGUUAUAAGCUGUAUAUAGAAACCACCCCAAUUCCACAUGAAACAAAUGCAUAGGAGAAGCACAAUGUUUUACAGAAAAGAAAACGGGCUCUGUGGAGAGGGGGGAAAAAAAGAAGGGGUGAGGCUUGAGUGAAAGAGCCAGAGAGAAUCCCUGCUUCUAAAUGUUUUGACCUGAAUGUUUUGACAGUUGAAAUCUCAAUUGUAGAUGUACAUCUGUGCUUUUGCUAUCAAACCCACCAACUUUUAGAAAGGUUAAAAUAUGCUCUGAGACAGCUGCUCCUCCUUAGUGAAACGCAUAGACUUGGCUAUAUAAAUAUGGAAAAAAAACAUAAAAGGAAAAAAAUGCUUGAGAAAAUGGAAAGGGCUGAAGAAGAAAGGAUGAAAUCAAAGAGGAAAUAGAAGAUUACGAUCUUUGAGUUAAAGGUACAAGAUAGAACUAUGUAUACUGACUUUGUUACACUAUGGCCAGUAGCUAAACACUGAAAAUAGUUUGCCUGGUUAUGAUUGGUCUCUCUGGAGGUGCCUGAAAACUAUUAUUUCCAUGGGGAUAUUAGUUCCCACAGAUGUUGCUCAAACAAUUGUGCUAAAUUUGAAGAAAUUAUUUAGGCCUUAAAUACUUGAUUAUUUCACACACAACAAAGCAUCCUUCAAAAUUAAUGUGGGUAUAUCCCAGUGAAAAAGUCACUACUUUUUAAACAGGAAACGUGGUACCAGAGGCAGAAAUAACCUGGGAAAAAUAGGAAUGGGUUCUUUAAAGCCAUGUAAUAUUCUUUUGCAUCAGCUGUGUUGCUAUAGAGUUAGCCUUCUCUUGAAAGAAUACUCCAAGAUGCACAGGAGCUGAAGAUACCAAACAUCUUUAUUGUUCAGAAUACAUGAGUCAUGCUCUACAUCCCAUAUAUAUAGGGCUUUACUUACAACAAAGCUGUUCCUGGCCAGCCAUAGUUUGUCUCUGAGGAUUCUGGGAGCAAGCAUACAAUGGUUUCAAGCAGGCAGCUUGAACAGCAUUCCUUGGGAGAGUCAAGGUUGAACCAUCCCUUGGCAGAUGGGCAUUCCAGUUGUGAUAAGACUAAAAGGUUGACAGAAAGAAGGAUAUAUAUCAAUAGACACAAGAAAGGGAGUGUUUGAAACAAAGUAGAAGGCUGUUCAUGAGAAAAGCUGUGUAGAUCAUAUAGAAAGUGGCUGCUGGGUGAAUUUCUGUUUGAUUUCACAACCCCAUAAGGACAAUAUUAUUUGUAUAUAAAGAUCAAAGCCUUUCUGCUUUUUGCAUUCACAUGGCACAGAUAUUUGUCCAUCUGCCUGUCUGGUUAAUGAUCUGUUCAGACCGCCAAAUGGAUGAGAGUUUGUCAAAACAUAAACACAACAGAAUAAUGCAUUAAAGCAUAAAUAUUUUAUAUGUAAGUGAAGUUGGCAUCAUCUUAAAAUGCAUUCAUUCACUCAUGCUGAGCAAUCAUUCUUCUUCCUUCCAUCAUCUUAAUGCAGCAAAGUAGAGGUCCCUGGCAAAUGGCCUCUUUUCCUCUCUUGAUAGUCCCUCACUUUAGAUUUGGAAGACUGGAUUCUUGAUCCUAUGUAGUGACGGCUCUUCUAAGUACAAAGCCUGACAGAUCUAAAAUAGACUAUAGAUGACUCUCUCUCUCUCUCUCUCUCUCUCUCUCUCUCUCUCUCUCUCUCUCUCUCUCUCUCUCUUUAAUUAGUAUAGACCCAUUUCUUUUAUUUUUCUUUUAUAUUUUCUUUUUAAUAUGCAUCCCACAGAAACAUUG
ensembl:lncRNA